UAAGCAUAUCAAUAAGCGGAGGAAAAGAAACCAACAGGGAUUGCCCUAGUAACGGCGAGUGAAGCGGCAAAAGCUCAGAUUUGAAAUCUCUCUAUUUUCAUAGAGCGAAUUGUAAUCUGUAGAAGGUUGAAUGGCUGAAUAUUCUGAAUUAAGUUUCCUGGAAUGGAACACCAUAGAGGGUGAGAGUCCCGUGAGCUUCAGAGGAUAAGCCAAUUUAUUCACCUUUCGACGAGUCGAGUUGUUUGGGAAUGCAGCUCUAAAUGGGUGGUAAAUUUCAUCUAAAGCUAAAUACCUGCCAGAGACCGAUAGCGAACAAGUAGAGUGAUCGAAAGAUGAAAAGCACUUUGAAAAGAGAGUUAAAAAGUACGUGAAAUUGUUGAAAGGGAAGCGCUUGCGAUUAGACUUGAUAUCUGAAUUCGAUCAACCCUCGGGUUCGAUUUAUUUUCUUUUUAUCAGGCCAGCAUCAGUUUGGUGGGAUUUAUAAAAAUAAUCGGAAUGUAGUAACCAUUUCGGUGGUUAUGUUAUAGCCUUUUAUAUCAUAUAUCCAUACCAGACUGAGGUCUGCUCUUUCGAGAAAGGAUGCUGGCAUAAUGAUCGUAAGCGACCCGUCUUGAA
rnacentral:rRNA from 1 species